CCGGCACGGGUGAGUAACACGUAUCCAACCUGCCGUCUACUCUUGGCCAGCCUUCUGAAAGGAAGAUUAAUCCAGGAUGGGAUCAUGAGUUCACAUGACCGCAUGAUUAAAGGUAUUUUCCGGUAGACGAUGGGGAUGCGUUCCAUUAGAUAGUAGGCGGGGUAACGGCCCACCUAGUCAACGAUGGAUAGGGGUUCUAAGAGGAAGGUCCCCCACAUUGGAACUGAGACACGGUCCAA
rnacentral:rRNA from 1 species